rnacentral:rRNA from 1 species
GAAUAUUGGACAAUGGGCGAAAGCCUGAUCCAGCCAUGCCGCGUGGGUGAAGAAGGUCUUCGGAUUGUAAAGCACUUUAAGUGGGGAGGAAGGGCAGUAAGCGAAUACCUUGCUGCUUUGACGUUACCGACAGAAUACGCACCGGCAAACUCUGUGCCAGCAGCCGCGGUAAUACAGAGGGUGCAAGCGUUAAUCGGAAUUACUGGGCGGAAAGCGCGCGUAGGUGGUUCGUUAAGUUGGAUGUGAAAUCCUCGGGCUCAACCUGGAAACAGCAUCCAAAACUGGCGAGCUAGGGUAGGGCAGAGGGUGGUGGAAUUUCCUGUGUGGCGGUGAAAUGCGUAGAUAUAGGAAGGAACACCAGUGGCGAAGGCGACCACCUGGGUUCAUACUGACACUGAGGUGCGAAAGCGUGGGGAGCAAACAG